CCUACGGGAGGCAGCAGUGGGGAAUAUUGGACAAUGGGGGCAACCCUGAUCCAGCCAUGCCGCGUGUGUGAAGAAGGCCCUCGGGUUGUAAAGCACUUUCAGUGAGGAAGAACGCCUGGUGGUUAAUACCCAUCAGGAAAGACAUCACUCACAGAAGAAGCACCGGCUAACUCCGUGCCAGCAGCCGCGGUAAUACGGAGGGUGCGAGCGUUAAUCGGAAUUACUGGGCGUAAAGCGCGCGUAGGUGGCUUGAUAAGCCGGUUGUGAAAGCCCCGGGCUCAACCUGGGAACGGCAUCCGGAACUGUCAAGCUAGAGUGCAGGAGAGGAAGGUAGAAUUCCCGGUGUAGCGGUGAAAUGCGUAGAGAUCGGGAGGAAUAUCAGUGGCGAAGGCGGCCUUCUGGACUGACACUGACACUGAGGUGCGAAAGCGUGGGUAGCAAACAGGAUUAGAUACCCUGGUAGUC
rnacentral:rRNA from 1 species